rnacentral:rRNA from 1 species
GUAGUCCUGGCUGUAAACGCUGCCCGCUUGGUGUGGCCUGUUCUUCGGGGGCAGGCCGUGCCGGAGCGAAGGUGUUAAGCGGGCUGCUUGGGGAGUACGGCCGCAAGGUUGAAACUUAAAGGAAUUGGCGGGGGAGCACCGCAACGGGAGGAUGCGUGCGGUUUAAUUGGAUUCAACGCCGGAAAACUCACCAGGGGAGACCAGCGUAUGUGGGUCAAGCUGACGACUUUACCCGAACAAGAGCUGGAGAGGUGGUGCAUGGCCAUCGUCAGCUCGUACCGUAGGGCAUUCACUUAAGUGUGAUAACGAGCGAGACCCCCAUUCCUAGUUGCUAACCAUUCCGAAAGGAGUGGUGCACUCUAGGAAGACCGCUUCCGCUAAGGAAGAGGAAGGUGGGGUCGACGGUAGGUCAGUAUGCCCCGAAUCCCCUGGGCUACACGCGCGCUACAAAGGACGGGACAAUGGGUUCCAACCCCGAAAGGGGAAGGUAAUCCCGAAACCCGUUCGUAGUCCGGAUUGAGGGCUGUAACUCGCCCUCAUGAAGGUGGAUUCCGUAGUAAUCGCGGAUCAACAGUCCGCGGUGAAUAUGCCCCUGCUCCUUGCACACACCGCCCGUCAAGCCAUCCGAGUCGGUUCUAGGUGAGGCCCAGCCGUAAAAGGUUGGGUCGAACCUAGGGUCGGCGAGGAGGGCUAAGUCGUAACAAGGUAUCCGUAGGGGAACCUGCGGCUGGAUCACCUCC